rnacentral:rRNA from 2 species
UAGGGAAUUUUGCGCAAUGGACGAAAGUCUGACGCAGCAACGCCGCGUGAAGGAUGAAGGCCCUCGGGUUGUAAACUUCUGUUGGAUGGGAAAAAAAGCCGCAAGGUCUUGAUGGUACCAUUCGAGUAAGCACCGGCUAACUACGUGCCAGCAGCCGCGGUAAUACGUAGGGUGCAAGCGUUGUUCGGAAUCACUGGGCGUAAAGAGAGCGUAGGCGGGAUUGUAAGUUAGGAGUUUAAUGCAUGGGCUUAACCCAUGAUCUGCUUUUAAUACUGCAGUUCUUGAGUAUGGGAGAGGGUGAUGGAAUUCCAGGUGUAGCGGUGGAAUGCGUAGAUAUCUGGAAGAACACCAGUAGCGAAGGCGGUCGCCUGGCCCAAUACUGACGCUGAGGCUCGAAAGCUAGGGGAGCAAACAGG